UACGGGGGCGAAGCGUUGUUCGGAAUUACUGGCGUAAGGCUCGUAGGCGGCAACUAAGUCAGACGUGAAUCCCUCGGCUUAACCGGGAACUGCGUCUGAUACUGGAUGGCUUGAGUGUGGAGAGGAUGCGAAUUCAGGUGUAGCGGUGAAAUGCGUAGAUAUCUGAGGAACACCGGUGCGAAGGCGGCAUCCUGGACCACGACUGACGCUGAGUGAGCGAAAGCCAGGGGAGCAAAGCGGG
rnacentral:rRNA from 1 species